GAUGAACGCUGGCGGCGUGCUUAACACAUGCAAGUCGAAUGUAGUUUACUACAUGGCGGACGGGUGAGUAACGCGUGAGCAAUCUGCCCAUAUCUGGGGGAUAACAGUUGGAAACGACUGAUAAUACCGCAUGAUAUCAUUUUUAGGCAUCUUUUAAUGAUCAAAGAUUUAUCGGAUAUGGAUGAGCUCGCGUCUGAUUAGCUUGUUGGUGAGGUAACGGCUCACCAAGGCGACGAUCAGUAGCCGACCUGAGAGGGUGAUCGGCCACAUUGGGACUGAGACACGGCCCAAACUCCUACGGGAGGCAGCAGUGGGGAAUAUUGGUCAAUGGAGGAAACUCUGAACCAGCAACGCCGCGUGAAUGAUGAAGGUCUUCGGAUUGUAAAGUUCUUUUCUGAGGGACGAAGAAAGUGACGGUACCUCAGGAAUAAGCCUCGGCUAACUACGUGCCAGCAGCCGCGGUAAUACGUAGGAGGCGAGCGUUAUCCGGAAUGACUGGGUGUAAAGGGAGCGUAGACGGCGCGGCAAGUCUGAAGUGAAAGCCCGGGGCUUAACCCCGGGACUGCUUUGGAAACUGCCAUGCUGGAGUGCUGGAGAGGUAAGUGGAAUUCCUAGUGUAGCGGUGAAAUGCGUAGAUAUUAGGAGGAACACCAGUGGCGAAGGCGGCUUACUGGACAGUAACUGACGUUGAGGCUCGAAGGCGUGGGGAGCAAACAGGAUUAGAUACCCUGGUAGUCCACGCGGUAAACGAUGAAUACUAGGUGUCGGGGAGCAAAGCUUUUCGGUGCCGGCGCAAACGCAAUAAGUAUUCCACCUGGGGAGUACGUUCGCAAGAAUGAAACUCAAAGGAAUUGACGGGGACCCGCACAAGCGGUGGAGCAUGUGGUUUAAUUCGAAGCAACGCGAAGAACCCUACCAAAUCUUGACAUCCCGAUGACUGGGGCGUAAUGGCCCUUUCCCUUCGGGGCAUUGGAGACAGGUGGUGCAUGGUUGUCGUCAGCUCGUGUCGUGAGAUGUUGGGUUAAGUCCCGCAACGAGCGCAACCCUUAUCCUUAGUAGCCAGCAGUAAGAUGGGCACUCUAGGGAGACUGCCAGGGAUAACCUGGAGGAAGGUGGGGAUGACGUCAAAUCAUCAUGCCCCUUAUGAUUUGGGCUACACACGUGCUACAAUGGCGUAAACAAAGGGAAGCGAAGGCGUGAGCCGGAGCAAAUCUCAAAAAUAACGUCUCAGUUCGGAUUGUAGUCUGCAACUCGACUACAUGAAGCUGGAAUCGCUAGUAAUCGUGAAUCAGAAUGUCGCGGUGAAUACGUUCCCGGGUCUUGUACACACCGCCCGUCACACUAUGGGAGUCGAUAACGCCCGAAGUCAGUGACCCAACCGAAAGGAGGGAGCUGCCGAAGGCGGGAUUGAUAACUGGGGUGA
rnacentral:rRNA from 1 species